CCUACGGGUGGCAGCAGUGAGGAAUAUUGGUCAAUGGACGAGAGUCUGAACCAGCCAAGUAGCGUGAAGGAUGACUGCCCUAUAGGUUGUAAACUUCUUUUAUAUGGGAAUAAAACAGGGUAUGCAUACCCUCUUGUAUGUACCAUAUGAAUAAGGAUCGGCUAACUCCGUGCCAGCAGCCGCGGUACUACGGAGGAUCCGCGCGUUCUCCGGAUUUAUUGGGGUUAAAGGGAGCGUAGGUGGAUUGUUAAGUCAGGUGUGAAAGUUCGCGGCUCAACCGUAAAAUUGCAGUUGAAACUGGCAGUCUUGAGUAGAGGAGAGGUAGGCGGAAUGCGUGGUGUAGCGGUGAAAUGCUUAGAUAUCACGAAGAACUCCGAUUGCGAAGGCAGCUCACUGGACUGCAACUGACACUGAGGCACGAAAGUGUGGGUAUCAAACAGGAUUAGAUACCCUUGUAGUC
rnacentral:rRNA from 1 species